GUGAAUCAUCGAAUUUUUGAACGCGAAUUGCACUCUCCUCGGAGAGUAUGCCUGUUUGAGGGUCAGCCUAUAAAAAAUCGACAUCGUUGCUGUUUCGCGGUGGCGUUCGUCGGAAAUUGGGUCAUCUUAAAUCUUUGGGUUAUGAGCGACUUAGUUUUUUCUUCGUGUUUACAUGAACGUUU
rnacentral:misc_RNA from 1 species